AAACCAAAAAGCAAGACAUGUAUUUUACGGUAAAUUAGAACAGAGUCACCCCUGAUGCCCCAUCACCCCAGUUCGUUCCCGAGGACAUCAGUCACAGCGAACGCAUCAUCACGAGAUGAGAUGGGGAGAGCGUCUGCUGGGGGCGUAAUAAGACCGAACAGGCUCUCUCCAUAGGUGGAGUAAAGCGAGAAGAAGCCCCGCCGGCACACUCCUCCGGAAAACUGAAGCAUCUUCUUUAACCUCGGGGUCAGAAAGAUUUAUUACUUCCUCGGUGAGCGAGAAGCCUCAGGCUAGUUGGAACUGACGAGCGGGGAGUGGGAACCUGAGAGCGACGCUCGGCGUUACCAGAGCUCUCCGGGGCGCGGGUGCGUCCUCAGUUCCCGGAGGGGCCCAGCCGUGCCGACCCGGGGGAAGAGCGGCGUGGGAGGCCGCUGCGGGAUUUGUCCAAACUUUAUCACCAACUCUUUCCGAGAGCAAAAACGGACGAUUGAGCCCGGCAGCGGCGAGCAGAAUCCAAGUUUCUCAGAGGUCGGGGCGCCGGAGCGCUCUUAACCCCCGAGUCAGCGCCCUGGCGCUCAGCACACGGACUGCUACGGCCUCCACCGCGCGGAUGGCGGCCGGAGCGACGCCGCUAUAAAUUGGUCCCCGCAUCUCCAACCCCCAAGGCGUCGGCGGCGGGAGCCGGGCGCUGAGUCGGGGGCGGGCGCGGGACGCGCGGAGGAGGAGCGCAGCGCGGUGAAAGGGGAGGAGUCCCAAGGAUAGACGGUGGCGCGCACCAACCCGGCGCCUGCUGGCAGGAGCCGUGCAGAGGCUGGCCCGAGCGCGUUGCAGCCGCUCGGCGUAGGGAGAGUCGGGUAGCAGCAUCCUCCCAGGCGCCGCUUUCGCGCGGCGGUGGCAGCGGCUGCGGCUGGGGCUUUCUCAGUCCGGAUUUCUCGUUGGCCCGAAGAGGCUGGUGCCGGGGGGCGGGGCGGGCAAGGGAGCUGCGGACCCCAGCUCUUUUGCUUAGAGCUGUGUGUAGGGGAUUUCUGGGCCAGUCGGAGGCUGCGGAGCGGCGGGGGCGCCGGCAAUGCCCGCUCGGGCAUCCUCUGGGUGAUGGAAGAAGCAGCUGCUGCCGCCGCCGCUGCAGGGUCGCACUGCGCCCCAUCUACAGCCUUCCGAGAGAUGGGAAGAUUCGGGGCGCAGAGGCCGAGAGCGAGAGAGGCGGAGCCGCUUUGCCUGGAGCUGGGUCCGGUUUAAGCCCCCUCCCCCCAACUUCCCCCGGCCAGCUUCACCCCCCCGCCCCGAGCGAGGAAGGAAGCUACUGUCCCGAGAGGGCGGCGGCGACGCCGCUGGAGCCGGUCGCAGUGGGCUUAGCGGAGGGCAGAGCAGGGCUCCAGGCCCGUUGAAAGUUUCCCUUCCCCAGCCUCAGGGCGCCUGCUGCCAGGAAACUCUGCCCAGGGCUUGGGCUGCGGAUUCCCGCGACCCCCUCGGAGGCAGGGGACCCCGAGCGGAAAACAGCGCUUGAGAAAUCGAGGAACGAGUGACAGCAGGACAGACAGCCGGGCCGUGAUCCCGGGCCGCUCCGGGGCGCGCCUGCGGCUCCAGGUCCUUCUCGGAGCCGCUGCCAUGGGAGAACCAACCCUAGGCGCCGGGGACCAGCCGCCGCUGCUGCCGUGCCCACCUCGGAGCCGCGGCCCAAGUCCCCGCGUCCGAAGCCGGGCCGCUGCGUCCCCCUCCCGGGUUGCAGGGCCGCCU
rnacentral:lncRNA from 1 species